ACAUGUGUAAAUAGAAAAAAGAGAGAAAAACAGAUAUUGAAAAUUCAAAAGGUGUAACUGUAACCACGCUCCUAUUUACACUCCCUACUUUGCACCCAUUAACUUAUCCACUAUGCCACUUCUUAAUCUUCCGCCCAACUGAUAUUCCCUGCAAAAUUUUCCGUCCACUUUUAAUUUUUUAAUUUAAUAAUAAUCAUAAAAACUACAAAUAAUACAAUUAAAUUCAAGUAAAGUUUUAGCACAAGACGUACUAAUUGCAAGAUCUGAGAACUUAAAUUGAAAUAUAUUUUAGAACAAAUAAUCAUAGAGCAUAUUUAUUUAUAUUUUAGACUCCAAACUAACUCUUAACAACUAAAUUUUAAAUUUAAUUUUAACUUCUUAAUGGGAAAAAAAAUAGGAAAGCCGAAAAAAGUAAAAUAAAAAUUGGACAGUUUUAAUUGUGGUGGUUAAUUUCCUUACGGAUACAAUACAUGUUCCCUGACGACGUGGUGGUUAGCUGCAAAAAAACAACUUCUUAUAUAAGAUGGAAUCCUCCAAAAUUAUAUCCUCUCUCACACAUUCUCCCUCUGUUGUGUCUCUUCUCUUUCUCUCUCUUGCUGCACUACUGACUUUCUUUUCGGAUUCAUGUCGCAGUGUCGAUCCAGUGGACAUGAGGAAAUUGUAAUGAAAUACAAGGUUGCAAGCAAAGUGGGUCCAGCAAAAACCAUCGGAACCAAGAAUGGAGUUUAAAAUGCAACAUCAUGCAAUUAAAACUCAACAAAAGCAGUACUACCAAAGAAGGAAGAAGGAGAUAGCGAAUUUCUAUCCUUGAUGUAAGUGUAAAGAGAGUUUUUCAGAGUUAGUUGCACUCAGUACUUAGUUCUGGUUAUUCUUUUUUCCGUUAUGUAACAUUUCAAUUGAUAAAUAAAAAAAUUUAUUUACAAAAGAAAAAUGAUCUCCGCUUAAACCUUUGAUUC